UCCAGCACAUUGGGCCAGCUACCGGGAGAUGUUAAGAGACUUGAUCAUGAUUCAUCGUCAUUGCCCCAGAGAUGGAUGCAGAAGAAAUACUUCUCCCCUAAUCUGCCUCUCCAGAGUCCCACGGAAAAACAACAGCAGAGUCUCUCUCAGAGCUAAUGUUUGGCAGAGGCAGUGACUUCUCCUCGGUGUUAUCUAGGGAUAAUCCAUCCACAUGGUUGUUAUCCCAGGCUGGCUUGAAGAUUAGAAAGCCUGGUGGUGGAGACGGGCCCGGCUGAAUGGAGCAGGAGGCCCACUCCUCCGGCGAACAAGGCCCUGGGAAGCCAUCCAACUGUGGAGAGCAUGUGCGGGGCCCUGAAUAGGCAAGCAGCAGGCCGGCCCAUAUGUCAGCCUGUGCCACAAAGACUCCUCUGCAUAUCUACCAUGACAAACAGGAUUACCGAAGACAAUUAAUCUGGCACGCUUUAUCAAAAUCAAGCACUGACCCCCGACCUCUCCCCCUCGGUGUGCGGCAGAUGCCACGCUCCGAUUCAAUAGGCCUCGAGUGUUCCCUUUUUCUCAUCUGAAAAGCAUCCAAGGCCUGAAUAAGGCUGGUCUGGACUAAUUGCAAGGACCGUGUGACGGCGACAGUCGGCAUCAAUAGGACGAGUCCACCUUUUCCCCCACUCGCGCGGAGGGGCUGCCCAUAGCUCCUGGCCUGCAGCAGAAAAGGAGAGAAAUGCUUCCAUUUUCCUCUUAUUCUUCUUGUCUGCAGCCUGAGGGGUGGGAGAGGGGACAGGAUGAGGGAGGUGCUGUUGUGUGUGUGCCCCUUGAUACUGGGGUGCCCAGUGCUCAUGGGAGAGGAUCUACCUGCAGCUCAGAGCGUAAUGGUUGUCAUAAAUUAGUGAAUUCUUAGGGGAGAGAACAGAGCGCCAAAGCCUUUGGAGGUGACAAAAUCUCAAACCAUGACUCUGCCUUCUCCAUGAACAUCCAUCCAGUUUAUCCAGUUUGUACAUCUGCACCUUUUGUGUGCUCCUGAUAACAACAACCCUGGAGCUGUGUCUUUCAGGAAUCUUCACAACACUGCCCGAUUAUUCAAAAAGGAGUCCUUUGUAGGAAGGACACCUUUGUAAUCUUUCUGGAAGUUUUGAAGACCUGGGAGACCUCUGGCCAUACCUCUUCCUCCCAGAGGAGGCUGUGGGUGAAUGUGCCGGUCAGAGUCAGAGGUGUUCAGAAGGUACUGGAGCUCUGGCUUCUGAUUCUCUCUGAAGGAGCAACUGCUGUGUGAUUUUCUUUCUGGGUCAGUUAAUAAAAUGGGGUGGAAACAAUCAAAGUUCAAUUAUUUGGAGAAGGCAGAGAUUUGGUAUAGAGUAUAUAAACAAAGUCAGAGCCUUGGAGAGUUUUGCUUGUAUUCACUAGACCUGAAGAAAUUGAAGAUGAUAAACAUUCCAACAAAAGGCAUGGGAGUCUGGAUAUCAAAGUGGGCGGGAACAUGGUACUCACCUGAAUUGUUGUGACAUUAGGCCCGUCUGAGAUGCCCUAAGUCAGGGUCACUGUCUUUGUAGGUUCCUGACUCGGGGGGCAUUAACUCUUGGAAAGUACAAGGGCUGAACCCUCAAGAAACUCCCUGUGUCAUUUCAAUCAAGCCUGGGUGGGGACUGCUCUCUGCAUGGGGAUCCACUACAGAGCUCCUUGCAUUUAGAAAGCAAUUUUCCUUGAACACAGAAUUCUCCCCUAAAAAAUGAGAAUCGGGGUUGUUCAUUCAUAUAAGAAAUUGGUUGCUAUUAAAUUAUUAAUGAGUUCAGGGAUUUGCAUUCUCCAAGAUGGGAAAGAUCAUCUCCAAGCAAUGUUAAGACACUUAUAUGUAAAACACUUAAAAGAUAGAGAAGAAUAUCUAAAACAUCAUGUAUAAAGGAGGUAAAAUAAUUAAGCACAUUAAGAAUGUUAUUUUUUUUAUACUAGCAGUAAAAACCAGGGGCUUAAGUGAUAUUUUUCUAUAGGCUUUAACUUAGAAGGAAAUAACAUAUAUGAGUAUUUCUGUCUGUUUCUUUUAUCCUACAAGACAUGAACCAGAGUUUUAGAUACAAAAGAAGAUUUGAGUAUAAUCAUGGGUGUAUGAGGCAUAGGUUUCUUAGGCAAUAAAAAUUCAUUGAGUAAAUACUUAACUAGAGAGUUUUGGCCUCUAGAACUGCUUUCCAUUCUGGCUUCCCAGCUUUACUAAAUAAUCUUGGUAUUUUAACAUCAGAAGACCCACUCACCCAGACAUAAAUGUACACACAUGGAUGGGGUGGUCAGGGGCUAGUUAUUAAAAUGAUCCUGAACAAAGCUAAUUUUCAGGACUGUGGAAGUGAGAUAAAAUGAAGCCCUGCCUUCACUUGGUAGGCAAAAGACAGAGGAGGGGGUUCAGGCUGGCCGGUGUCAGAUCUAAGGAAUCAAUCCAUGGUGUCAUGAUUACUGUAGGACUCUUUUCCUGGAGGGGACAAUAGCUAUGCUGAUAAGCAAGAAGCCAUUGUCCUUGGUAAACCAGCUGCUGCAGGCCAGCUUGCUGGGUCAGGCACACACUCGCCCUUCAGUAUUGCCUGGGUGCUUGGAACAUAGUGCAGGUGCAACUGAUCUCUCCUCACUUGCAAAUCUGCAAUCCUUCCUGUGCUCACAUUUCAUGUGAGCAUCUCAGAAAAUUCACCUUGCCCUUGGCACAUCCAGAAACCCUUGGAGUAACCCACCGCUAGGUGCUAGGUAAACAAUGGAAAAAUUAUCCCUGCCCCAGCCCCUUUUUCUCCCUUCUCCCGAAUCUCUAAAUAGUUAAAACACCUCCCUGAACACAGAGAUGAACACUGCUUAAAUAGUUUACUGUCAGAAAUAUUGAGUACGUUUUAGUAGGAUGGGCUUUGCAAGCACUGCAGUACAAAAGCUGAGGCCAUCAAGGUUUUUGGGCAGGUUUUUCGGGCAGGUUUUUCAUUUAACUUGUCAUAUUAUAUAUUGCAGAUGUGCAAUUCUGGAUCAGUGUACAUCAGCUUCCAGGACAGGGGAAGCUGCAGAGUGGGUUGCAUGGGCAGCACAUGGGCUAAACAGAAGGUGGCAGCAUUUCAACAUUGUCAGGGACAGGUGCACGCAGCACGCACUCCAGAGCCAUUGCCAUGACUAUUGGGGUAUUGUCUAGAUUCCUAAUGAAGAGUUUACAUCUUCCUACCACGGCAGCAAGAAGUAGAAGCACAGAGUGAUGAGAGAUUUAUUCAUAUAGGAGAACACGGGACAAUUUGCUGCUCCGUUGGCAAAAUGCACUGCAAAUAGAAGCAGAAGUGGGGAGCCCAGGUCUGCAAUCAUAAAGCAAUGUCAAGCAAGGAGAAAUGUUGAUCAGUACAUAUUGUAGGUAUGUAUUGAAAUGUGGCCUACAAAUAUAUACACACAUUAUUAAUCAAUUUUUAAAAUAGACUGCAAGUAGGACACAAAGAGUUGUGCUGGAACAUCUAUGAACUAUUAGAAAGUUUUCCUUUAUUGGCAUUAAAGGUAAGAAUGUAUCAAAAUCAUGCCUAGAAUGGAAUAAGCAAAUUUAGUCUUUUCUGCUUCCUUCCCAAAGAACUUCAUGGAACUAAUUAACAACUGGGAAAACUGUGGUCUGUCAGAAAAUGGUGGUCUAUUAUGAGCUGUUUCUGAACAGGCUGUGAUCCUUAGGGUUAUGUGUUAGUGUUGAAAUUCUAGAUUAAUUCUAAGCUCCAUCCAUUACAGGACAGCUAGCAGAAAUCUCUGAGCUUCAAUUUCUUCAUUUGUAAACCAAAAUAACUUAGUUAGCUUAUCUAUCAGAUAACUGAUAGUGUUGUGAUAGUUUAUGGGAUGAUGUAUGUAAAUUGGAGUGCCUGGUUCUUAAUAGAUACUCAAUAAACCUUUUAUUUAUGAUCAUUAUCAUUAAUAUGAUUAUUUAUUUUACUAUAUUCAAACAUUUACAUACAUUAUAUGACUUGUCUUACAACAAUUCUGAGAAGUAAACAGGAAAGAAAUCUUUAUUUCACUUUAUAAUCAGGCCUAGUUCAUGGUGCAUGUGGUUAAGGGACAUUCAAUAGGUUUAUGCCCCAAGAAAGAAUAUGAUAUUUUGCAAGCCAAGUUUCUUCUCUGGAACAAUGUUUCUCAUAAAUUAAAUAAAAAUAUUGAAUCGGAGAUGAGGAAUUUGUAACUCCAUCAUUUGGUUUAACUAACUGCAUAAUAAGCAGAGAGCAAGUGGGAAAUUAAUUGCAUUUUAAUCUUAAUGGUAAUUUGCUACAAAUCAAGACAAUACCUGUUUGUUAUGGUCACACAGAGCUUUUAUGCCUUACAAAGAAUUAGAAACAACAUAUGGGAACACAGGGCUCUUAUGAAACCCAACCAAUAAACUCAAAGUAUAAGCUCUUUGCGAAAGAAAUACUGCUUUGUUUAAUACAUUGCCAGGCACUUGACUGUAUUUUGUAGGCAUCUAGAGUCCCCAUCCAUUAGCUCCUUAUCUGGAGAGGGCUUCUGAAAUUAAUCUGACCUAAAUUUGCUAUACAUAUUCUGGAAUGAGUGCAAUUAUCAAUAACACUAUUUAAAGGAAUGACCUUCAAAUGAGAACAAGAAAACAUUAGUGAGAGCCAUUCAGCCAACAGCGUCUGCUGAGAAGUGGGGUGUUUUAUUUAUGACUAUUGUUUUGAUAAAACAUCUGAAAUUUCACUAUUGUUUCAUGUGAACAACUGCCACAGUUAGGAUUUUUUUUUUCACAACAUCAUUUUGUACCAUUAUAGCACAUAGGAGAAAUCCUGCUUCAUGCAUGACCUCAGCUAUCAUUAAGAUCAUUGUCAAAGUUUCAUUCCAUCACCCAAGAUGUGUUUUAAUUGCCACAUCUAAUGCAAGGCUGUAGCUGUAUUUUAUAGCUUUAAAUUAAACCUUUUGUUAUAAUGGCAAGAUCUGCCAGAGUUUUAAUAAUUUAGAUGUGAAAAAAAUAAUCUGUCAUUCUAAGACUGUCAAAAUAGGAGAUAGCAACAUAGGUUUUAAAGCCCUUCUCUCUCAUCAACUCUCCUAUUCAUGACAAACAUCUGAGCUGCCUGCCUUCUACUCCUGACAAUUGACUUGAUAUUGAACUGGUAUAUGUCCCAAGAUUUCUACAAAUCUUCAAAUUUAUAAGCAUUCUUAUAACAGAAUAUCACAAGCUGUACAAGAAAUUGAUGAUGACUAAUGUGGUAGAGACAUUUACUCUAUAUUGGAUAACAGUGUGUGCCCUCUACAAUUUUCCACACCUUAAAGUUAUCCUGGAGGGUGUGAACGUAUUAUCUGGCCAAUGGACUAGUAUUGGAAAGGACAUAUCUCUCUGAAGGGUUGGACCACCAAAACACUACACUGAAACCCUCCUACAUUCUCUUUUACAGUCAGGGAAAAAUAGCAUAGAUUUAUGAAUAACUGAAAAUAAAUUUCAUAUAGAACCUCUGAUCCACAAAAAUAACAAUUUUGCUUGUUGCUGCUUCAAAUUUAGUCUAACCAAAAUGAUACAUUUGGACAUUAAAUCUCAACUCUCUGUGUCUUUGGUGAACUACACAAUGAAAGACCAUUUUCUAUCACACUCCAAUUCCAUUACAUGUGGCUGGUUUAGGUCAUACGGAGAAUUGUUGCUUUAAACUGAGAAAAAAGAGACCACCACAAGAAGAAGAUAAUUGUCACUCAACAAAGCUUUUUCACUAUAAAAUAAACUUUUACAUCAGCCAACUAGUACCCACAUAUUCAAAAAUUUUAUUCUGAAUCUUUCCAAAUCUAUUUCCUAGAUUACCACUAAUGCCUAUUUGCACUUAGACCACGCCUCAUCCUGCUUUUGAAUUUUAACUCAGAUGUAACUUACUAUUAAAAAACAAAUGCAUGAGAUUAUCUGUUCUUUAAUUUUUCCCAUCAGUCAGGAUCUGAUCAGUUGACUAUCUAUUUAACAGAAAUAACUCAAUGCUAGUAUUUUUAACAGGGGUGGGUGUUAGGUACAACAGUUAAGACACCAUUUGGCUUUCCUGCCUCCAAUAUGAAGGUGUCAGAGUUCAAGCCCAAGCUCCACUCUUGAUUCCAGCUUCCUGCUAACGUGCACUUUAAAACCAGCAGAGUGGCCGGCACCGCGGCUCACUAGGCUAAUCCUCCGCCUAGCGGCGCCGGCACACCGGGUUCUAGUCCCGGUCGGGGCGCCGGAUUCUGUCCCGGUUGCCCCUCUUCCAGGCCAGCUCUCUGCUGUGGCCCGGGAGUGCAGUGGAGGAUGGCCCAGGUGCUUGGGCCCUGCACCCCAUGGGAGACCAGGAAAAGCACCUGGCUCCUGGCUCCUGCCAUUGGAUCAGCGCGGUGCGCCGGCCGCAGUGCGCUGGCCGCGGCGGCCAUUGGAGGGUGAACCAACGGCAAAAGGAAGACCUUUCUCUCUGUCUCUCUCUCUCACUGUCCACUCUGCCUGUAAAAAAAAAAAAAAAAAAAAAGCAGAGUUAUCUGUAACCUCAUUGUAACCUCAUGUUUACUGCAGCGCAAUUCAUAAUAGCUAAGAUAUGGAAUCAACCCAAAUGUCCAUUAACUGAUAGCUGAUAAAGAAAUCAUGAGAUACUACUUAGCCAUAAAAAGAAUUAAAUCCUAUCUUUUGCAACAAAAUGGAUACAGCUGGAAAUCAUUAUACUUUGUGAAAUAAGCCAGUCACAAAAAGACAAACACCAUGUUUUCUCUGAUCUGUGGUAACAAAUAGAAUACCAAAAUUAUAAUAUAUAGGAGUGAAAUUCAUGUUUUGAGAUUUGAUGAUUGUUUACAACUCUUGUCUCUAUUAUUGAGGGACAGUAUUUUGUUUUCUUACUAUUUGUUGAACUGUUCAUUUAGUGAAGUGUUACUCUUGUCAAUAUAAAGUAAACAGAAAGUAGGCCAUUGUAAAAAUUAAGAGAUGGAAUUAGAGGAAGGAGAAGGAAGGAUAGGAGCAUGGGCUGGAGGGAGGCCAGGGUGGGAAGUAUCACCAUGUUUCUAAAUCUGUAUUUCUGAAAUACAUGAAAUUUGUUUACCUUGAAUUAAAAAAAUGAAAAAAUAAGAGGUACUAGUUGAUUACUCAAGUACUUAGGUCCCUGCUACUCACAUGGGAAACCUGAAUUGAGUUCCUGGCUCCUGGCUUCGGUAUGACCCAUCAUUUACUGAUGCAAGCACUAGUGGAGUGAACCAGUAGAUGGACAUUCUCUCUCUCUCUCUCUUUGUGUGUGUGUGUGUCCCCCCCUCCCUGUCUUCUCUUCCCCACUUUCAAAAUAAAUAAAUAAAUAAACAAAUAAAUAAAAUUGUUGUGACUAGUUUACUAAAAAUUUCAAGUCACUGCACUAAAACAUGCCACAUAAUAAUUAGAAAUAUAUGUAUAUAAUCAUGCUAGCAUUUACACAAAUACUAGUUUUUGAAAUU